CCCCCCGUGCAGAGCUUACCCGCGGCCCCUGCCGCCUCGCGCCCCCCCUCCCUUUAUGGCCGCCCCUCACCCGCCCCCCUCACGGCCUCGGCCAUGGCCGGGCCCGCCCGCAGAACGGCAGCGGCGCCGGGAAGAGGAGGAGGAAGAGGAGGAGGAGGAGGAGGAGUUCAAGAGCUCGAGCUCCGAGAGACGCAAUAAGCGAUUGUGCCAUGAGUCUUGGCAGCGCCAAAUCCGUGAGCAGGGGCUGGUGCAAACAGGAGAGUACAGGGCUACACCUCUUUAACUGCUCCCAGGUUAUGUUUAUUGUGGAUCACACCAUCUCAUGAAGAAAGAGGGCAUGAGUUCAGGACCUGCCUUUUCCUGUAGCCUUGGGUAAAGCAGUUCCCUUUACACAGCUGGAUUUUGACUGCUGUUUAAAUGGAAAUAAAGAAUACCUUUUCUCUUUUCAAGCAUUGAGUAACAGCCUCAAUGUUUGGUGUGGAUUAA